GAUUUCUGGUAGAUCAUUCUGGCCCGCGUCUUUCGGGACGUGAGAGCUGGCGUGUUUUUACCAUCCUUCUAGGAUGCUAUAUCUACUCUUUACUGAGCUGGGUAUAUGUGUUCUAGAUCGUUUACUUUGAAAAAAUUAGAGUGUUUAAAGCAGGCUGACGCUGUGAAUACAUUAGCAUGGAAUAAUAAUAUAGGACUUCGGUCUUUAUUUUGUUGGUUUUGGGGGCUGAAGUAAUGAUUGAUAGGGAUAGUUGGGGGUGCUAGUAUUCAGCGGCCAGAGGUGAAAUUCUCGGAUUCGCUGAAGACUAACUUAUGCGAAAGCAUU
rnacentral:rRNA from 1 species